CUAUCAGAGUUAGUCAAUGUCGUUACCCUCUAGUUAGGCUGUGAGAAUACUAAUGUUGA
rfam:Lactobacillus apodemi DSM 16634 = JCM 16172 strain DSM 16634 NODE_187, whole genome shotgun sequence.